CGUGUGCGGCGCGUGCGCAGUGUCACGGCGGCGAGCGGAAGAUGGCGGCGGCGGCGUCUGGGAAGAGGCGCUGCUGAGGGGGCGCGAGGGGGACGGAAGCCGGAGCCGCGGGAAUACUAGACAGCAGCCAUGGCAGGCAGCAGCGGGGACAGCGUCACUCGCCGGAGCGUGGCAUCACAGUUUUUCACACAAGAGGAGGGGCUGGGCAUCGAUGGCAUGACCACUUCGGAGAGAGUGGUGGAUCUCCUGAACCAGGCAGCGCUGAUCACCAACGACUCAAAGAUCACAGUGCUCAAACAGGUCCAGGAACUGAUCAUCAACAAAGAUCCCACACUACUGGACAACUUCCUGGAUGAGAUCAUCGCUUUCCAAGUAGACAAGUCAAUUGAAGUACGCAAAUUUGUCAUCGGCUUCAUCGAGGAGGCAUGUAAGCGAGAUAUCGAGUUAUUGCUGAAACUGAUUGCGAACCUCAACAUGCUCUUGAGGGACGAGAAUGUGAAUGUUGUGAAGAAGGCCAUCCUCACCAUGACACAGCUCUACAAGGUGGCCCUCCAGUGGAUGGUGAAGUCACGGGUCAUCAGUGAGCUCCAGGAGGCCUGCUGGGACAUGGUGUCUUCCAUGGCCGGGGACAUCAUCUUGCUGUUGGACUCUGACAAUGAUGGUGUCCGCACCCAUGCCAUCAAGUUUGUGGAGGGCCUCAUUGUCACCUUGUCGCCCCGUGUUGCCGACUCAGAGGUGCCCCGACGCCAGGAGCACGACAUCAGCCUGGACCGAAUCCCUCGUGACCACCCCUACAUCCAGUACAAUGUGCUGUGGGAAGAGGGCAAGGCAGCCUUGGAGCAGCUACUCAAGUUCAUGGUACACCCCGCCAUCUCCUCCAUCAACCUGACCACAGCGCUGGGCUCCCUCGCCAAUAUCGCCCGCCAGAGGCCCAUGUUCAUGUCUGAAGUGAUCCAGGCCUAUGAAACCCUGCACGCCAACUUACCCCCGACACUAGCCAAAUCUCAGGUGAGCAGCGUGCGCAAGAACCUCAAGUUGCACCUGUUGAGUGUGCUGAAGCAUCCAGCCUCCUUGGAGUUCCAGGCCCAGAUCACUACCCUGCUGGUGGACCUGGGCACUCCUCAAGCCGAGAUCACCCGCAAUAUGCCCAACAGCAAGGAUACCCGCAAGCGGCCCCGAGAUGACUCAGAUUCCACGCUCAAGAAGAUGAAGCUAGAGCCCAACCUAGGGGAAGAUGACGAGGACAAAGACUUGGAGCCAGGCCCAUCGGGGACCUCGAAGGCCUCAGCCCAGAUCUCAGGCCAGUCUGACACAGACAUCACAGCCGAGUUCCUGCAGCCUCUGCUGACUCCUGACAACGUGGCCAAUCUGGUUCUCAUCAGCAUGGUAUACCUGCCUGAGGUUAUGCCCGCCUCCUUUCAAGCCAUCUACACUCCAGUGGAGUCAGCAGGCACCGAAGCCCAGAUCAAGCACCUAGCUCGGCUCAUGGCCACACAGAUGACAGCCGCAGGACUGGGCCCAGGUGUGGAGCAGACCAAACAGUGCAAGGAGGAGCCCAAGGAGGAGAAGGUGGUAAAGCCGGAGAGUGUCCUGAUUAAGCGGCGCCUGCCAGCCCAGGGCCAGGCCAUCUCGGUGGUGGGCUCCCUGAGCUCCAUGUCCACUCUGGAGGAGGAGGCACCCCAGGCCAAGAGGAGGCCAGAGCCCAUCAUCCCUGUCACGCAGCCCCGGCUGGCGGGCGCUGGCGGGCGCAAGAAAAUCUUUCGUCUGAGUGAUGUACUGAAGCCCCUGACCGAUGCCCAAGUUGAGGCCAUGAAGCUGGGCGCUGUGAAGCGGAUCCUGCGGGCUGAGAAGGCUGUGGCCUACAGUGGGGCAGCCCAGGUGCGCAUAAAGAUCCUCGCUAGCCUGGUGACGCAGUUCGACUCAGUCCUGAAGGCCGAGGUCCUGUCCUUCAUCCUGGAGGACGUGCGGACCCGCUUGGACCUGGCCUUCGCCUGGCUCUACCAGGAGUACAAUGCCUACCUGGCAGCCGGUGGCUCGGGCACCCUGGACAAGUAUGAGGACUGCCUCAUCCGCCUGCUCUCCGGCCUGCAGGAGAAGCCAGACCAGAAGGAUGGGAUCUUCACCAAGGUUGUGCUGGAGGCACCACUCAUCACUGAGAGCGCCCUGGAGGUGAUUCGCAAGUACUGCGAGGACGAGAGUCGCACCUACCUGGGCAUGUCCACCCUUCGAGACCUGAUCUUCAAGCGCCCGUCCCGUCAGUUCCAGUACCUGCAUGUCCUGCUAGACCUCAGCUCCCAUGAGAAGGACAAGGUGCGUUCCCAGGCCCUGCUAUUCAUCAAGCGUAUGUACGAGAAGGAACAGCUGCGAGAGUAUGUGGAGAAAUUUGCCCUCAACUACUUGCAGCUCUUGGUCCACCCCAACCCGCCGUCGGUGCUGUUUGGAGCUGACAAGGACACAGAGGUGGCAGCACCCUGGACCGAGGAGACCGUAAAGCAGUGCCUGUACCUCUACCUGGCCCUCCUGCCUCAGAACCACAAGCUGAUCCACGAGCUGGCGGCCGUGUACACUGAGGCCAUCGCUGACAUCAAGCGGACGGUGCUAAGGGUCAUCGAACAGCCGAUCCGAGGAAUGGGCAUGAACUCGCCUGAGCUGCUACUCCUGGUGGAAAAUUGUCCCAAGGGGGCAGAGACGCUGGUCACGAGAUGUCUGCACAGCCUCACAGACAAAGUCCCACCCUCCCCAGAGCUGGUGAAGCGGGUCCGGGAUCUCUACCACAAGCGGCUGCCAGACGUCCGCUUCCUCAUCCCUGUGCUCAAUGGGCUGGAGAAGAAAGAAGUGAUCCAGGCCCUGCCAAAGCUCAUCAAACUGAAUCCCAUCGUUGUGAAAGAGGUCUUCAACCGCCUGCUGGGCACCCAGCAUGGUGAAGGGAACUCAGCCUUGUCCCCCCUGAACCCCGGAGAGCUACUGAUUGCAUUACACAACAUUGACUCUGUGAAGUGCGACAUGAAGUCCAUCAUCAAAGGUGAGGUAUCCCCCCACCCCCUCUUAAGUGGCCUGGCCUCCACGGACUCGGGGAAGAAGUUCAGUCACCCACACGUCUCCACUGGAAUGUGCCAAGUCGGAGAUGGUGUCACGGUAGCCUCAUCCCAGAGCUCCGACACCCACCAUUGUUUCUCCCUCCCUCCUUCCUUCCCUCCUUUCCAUCUUUCCUUCCUCUCUCCAUCUAAGGAACUAAUGUACCUACUGAGUCCUGGCACAGAGUUUGCACUCAAGAAAGCUGGGGAGCUCCAGCCCCGGCCCAAGGAGCCGGUGAAGCAGAGCCCAGGGCCUAGUGUUCUUGGUGGGGAGGGGGCAGAGGCACUGCCGGCAGAGCAGAUGGAGGGCACCAAGGCCCAGGCUGGACCGGAGUAGAGGCUGGAUCUAGUCUGGGCUCCAGCUGCAGCAGGAGUGUGUGGGGCAGGGGUGUUGGUGACAAACUGUCAGGCUCCCCACAAUCAUCAGUUUCAUGAAAGCCGCUGUCACUGAGCACUUACUCUGAGCCAGGCUCUCCUGAGUGCCUCACAGGCCUGCCUGCCUUCUGCACCACCCGUUACCUGGUAAGUAUGCUGACAUCCAUUUUGUAGACAAGGAAAUGGAGGUUCCAGAGAGGUUAAGUAACAUGCUCGGCCACACACAACCUAAGUGGUAUAGGGGAGAAAACAGAAUCUGAAGUCGAGUAGACCUGAGUUGGGGUCCCAGCUCUGCCAAUUCCACAUCUCCCGUGGGAAGACCUCUCUCCCUCAGCUCUCAGCCCUCCACUCCCUCCCUGAAGGAGGUUUCUGGUCCAGAAGCCGUGCUUUCCCACGGAGGCAGACAACUUACGGUCACGUGCUCUACUCAGAAGACAACUGUCCUUUGAUUACUCCCCUGUCCUUUAUGAGCGGGGUGGGGGUUCCCCUCCUUGCCACUUAAGUCUCAUGUCUAGCCUGAAAUCGCUUCUCUAGUGACUUAUUUCCUAACCUUCCCCAGCAAGUUCUCUCAGAAACUUUUAGGUCAAGAGAGGAGCUUAUGAAAACGUAAAGCCCAUGCUACAAGUGAGGAGGAACUAAGGCCUCUAGCAGAAGAGCAGUAGGGUGGAAAGGGUCUGGAAGCUUGGAGUCCAAGAGCUGUCUUUUUACACUCACUGGCCCCUUCGAUGACCUCAGGAAAGCUUUGGGCUCAUUCCCAAAGACAAUGCGCUCACACGGCUUUGUGUACAAUUUGGGAGGUGUCACAGACCCCACCACCCCACCAAGCCCAUCCAUGGACCCACAUGUAGUCCCUGAUCUUACAUGAGGGAACCAAGUCCCAGGGAAUAAAAGGGCCUCGCCACAGGUCACACAGGCGGCCAGGGGCCAGGCCCCUGGAGAUGUCGGCAAGGCUUGGCCUGGCCUUGAGAACCCCACCUGUUUCUUCCUACAAGCCCGGGCCCAUACACAACCUCCAUACUGUGGAGCUCUCAGCAAGCCCACAGCUGGUCUCCCUGCCAGCCGCUGGUCCCCAGCACCUAGUCCAGCCAGUUCGCAGAGCACAUUUCUGUGCUCAGGCACCAGUGCUUUUCCUGGUUGCACUAAUAGCUCCACUUGACUAAGCUCCAGAUCUGAAGUCCAGUCCUGUUUUGUGCACCGUUGGAAUCCCCAGUGCCUGAUCGUAUUGGCAGUCAUUUCUGGCACGCACUCGCCCCUUAAACCAGCCUGUUUCUCUGGAGCCCCCUCCCCCCAUUCCUUAUAGGCACCCACCCCUGUUCUCCAUUAACCUCUCAAGGAUUGGGGGCCUCUCCUCUGGCUCAAUAAAGACUUCCUGGUUGACAGAC